GAAUCACUCAAGUGGUGGCUGCACAGCAGAAGAUAAAUAUUUAAUGGAACAAUACUAACAGCCAAUGAAGAGACUGCAAAGGCAAAUGCAGAGGCCAAUAACAGGCUUCCUGGGGCAGUUUGUUAGACAGACACGAAGCCCUUCAGGAAGUACAUGAAGAUGGAUGAGACCUACUGAAACUUCUUCCACAUUCUCUUUCCUCUGGAAGUCUUGCCAGUGUAUACCACUGCCUGAUCAUGUUCCUCAAGAAGGCUGCUUUCCCAUCCGUAGAAUUGCAAACUAGAAAUGAGAGAGAAGCACAACAGAAAGUGGACAAAGAACUAAGAAAGAAAUUGGGUAUUGUUAAAGAAAUAAGAAUCCAUCUCAAGAGGAUAAAUCCCAGUGAACUUAAAGAGGAUUCUGGCAAAGCUUCUCCAUUUAAAUGGAAGUUCCCCAAGAAGGCUGCUUCCCCAUCUGAAGAACUGCAAAGCAGAACUGAGAGAGUAGCACAACAGAAAGACGACAAUGAACUAAGAAGGAAAUUUGGUAUUGUUAAAGAUAUAAGAAUCCAUCUCAAGAGGUUAAAAUUUUAAUGCAAUUCCAUUGUUCAAGUUGCUUAUCUGUAGCAAAGUUAGCAAUCAAUAACAAAUUACUGUUUCUCUUAGAUCUAUUAUCCCUUGUUCAGUCUGUAGCAUUCAACUCACACCUUGUCAACUGAAUCUUAAACCAACGUCUACUACUCUUUCCAAAAUCUUUGAGAAAGGCCCACUUUUAUUGUCCCUGAGUGGGAACAACAUUGGUUUACACUCAGCAUUCAUGGAAAAUAGGCUGUAACUGUUUCAUGAAAUAUUUCAAGGCCAGAUAAAGCAAAACUUUCCAGAGUAUCUUAAAAGAGCAUAGGUAUGAAUUCCUUUUCUUUUUUCCUUUCUGCCAGUACCAAAAUAAAGGAUCUGGUGUUAAAAAGAAAGAAAGAAAG
rnacentral:lncRNA from 1 species